CAGUUCGGAUUGUAGUCUGCAACCGACUACAUGAAGCUGGAAUCGCUAGUAAUCGCAGAUCAGAAUGCUGCGGUGAAUACGUUCCCGGGUCUUGUACACACCGCCCGUCACACCAUGGGAGUUGGAAAUGCCCGAAGUCGGUGACCUAACCGAAAGGGAGGAGCCGCCGAAGGCAGGUCUGAUAACUGGGGUGAAGUCGUAACAAGGUAGC
rnacentral:rRNA from 1 species